rnacentral:rRNA from 1 species
GCAAAAACAAACCUUAAACCUAUACAAACUAAAGAAAAUUCUCACAGCGCACAGUAUUUCAUAAAAAAUCUUCCUAUCCACUCAAAAACCCGCAAAGGGCCAAUUUUUUUAGCCUUUUUCAAGAAAUGGUAACACCAUGUCCCUUUGCAUCAUGGAGAAGCAACAAAACCAUAGCAAACUAAACCUCCCGAAUGACUAUGAGCUACUAACUCUUAAAAAUCAAUGUUUCAUAAUUGAUAAAAUAACCCUUAGUAGAAGUAACAAGCCUUUCAUAUAGUCACAUAGCUGGUUUUUCUUCAAAAGCAUCAAAGUGCUGCCUUAUAGCUAUAAACGCCAUAUCGCUAAUGCUAUAAAGGUUAGCUUACUGAGGAUAAGCUCAGUAAGAAUACAAAAAUAUUCUACCAUCUCAACUUUCCAAGUAGGCUUAAAAGCAGCCACCUUAUGACGUUCUAGUUAUAACACCCAAAUACCCAAUAUUUAUAUACACUAUUUUAACUUUAAAGAAAUUUAUCGUAAAACAUCACACGACAGUAAACAGGCAUUCUAUUAGUAUUAAUACAAUCCACUCCUCACAACCCUAAAAGAACUUGAAACAACAACACUUUUACUUAAAAAAUCUAUACAAAGCGAACUCGGCAAAUAAAUUCCCUGCCUGUUUACCAAAAACAUCGUCUUUUGAACCACUCCUGAUAAAAGAUAAUGCCUGCCCAGUGAAAUUUUAAACGGCCGCGUUAGCGUGAGCGUGCUAAGGUAGCGUAAUAAUUAGCCUUUUAAUUGGAGGCCAGUGAAUGGCAAGACUAGGAAUAGCUGUACUUUGUAUACAAAAAGAAUUUUUCGUCUAAGUGAAAAGACUUAGAUAACAAAGGAAGACGAAAAGACCCCGCGGAACUUUACCUCUUCUCAUACUUCUGCCUAUCCGCUCGAAAGUAUACGAGGUUUGAUUGGGGCAAUCUUGGAACCAGUAAAACUUCCAAUUUUUUUAAAAAACAUCCAAAAUUUACUAAGGACCAAAAAGUAGUUACCCCGGGGAUAACAGCGUAAUCCAACUCAAGAGUACACAUCGAAAGUUGGGUUUGCGACCUCGAUGUUGGCUUAAGGAUAUCCACAUAAGUGCAACCGCUAUGAUAGGAUAGUCUGUUCGACUAUUAUACCCUUACGUGAUCUGAGUUCAGACCGGCGCAAGCUAGGUUGGUUUCUAUCUCCUUCAUUUAAAACCUUUUCUUGAUUGUACGAAAGGACCCCAAGAAAUGCAUCUCACGAAAGCACCACUAAACACCCAUUGAAUUUGAUCUUAACCACUAA